UCAGAUCUCUCUCUCUCUCUCUCUCUCUCUCAUCUAAGACGACGCUGGCGCAUCUGCCUCGACUCCGAUCUGCGUCAACGACAACGACACCUGAGUCCUCUUUCGAAGAAGAAGAACAUAAACCCUCAACUAAGGAAGCCAAUCAUAGUUCUCUCUCUCUCCAGCGUGAGUGACUUGCAUUGUGCCCGGUAAAGUGGAGGUGCUCCAAAGGACACCUAUCCAUCCCAGAAUUGUGCCAGUUCAGUCUCUGCCCUCCUAAUAUGUACAAGGCAGCACGUCGACAAAAUUCAUCUACUUGUUCUGCAAUUUAAUCAUCAAGACGUUCUUACUAGAGUAGAAGAAGAUGAACAAGCACAACACCGCUGAAAUUGGGGCUAGUGAGAAGGUCGAAGCUAUAGAGGAGGCAAAUGUAGCUAAGAAGGAUGAGUUGCUUGUGACAAUUGUGUUUUUCCAUUUUUGUUAGUAUGUUUCAGUGCUUUAUGGGCAAACUA